CGUAAAAAAAUAAUUUAUAAAAGUAUUUAUAAACACGUUUCCAAAAUAUCUGUACCUGUAUGCAAAUAGUUUUUUUUUUUUUUUUAGAAAAUUGUUUGAAUGCUUAUAAUUUCGUUUUCAUUUUCGGCCAAUAGCGGUCUAUUUAGAAGAAUCACCGUUUCUAAAAUGCUUUUCCACCUCUCUUUGUCCAAUGUCGUUUCCAUAUCCAGCAAUCGAUUGACUUUUUUUCGAUCUUUUUCUACUGUAUAAUAACGUCCUCCGCCGAGACUUGUCUUUUGGCAGUGUUUCUUUCAAGUAUGGUCAAGGUUCCCUUUUUAGAAAAUUUAAAGACUAGUAAAGAAAUAUCAAAUAUUAGAAAAAUUGUAUUUUUAUAUCACGGUCACAAUGACCUACCCGUACUCUAUUUACAAAUUCAUUUUUUUCCCAAUGGAAAUCAUUAAUUGCCUAGAUAAUAUUGUUGGAUACCCAUGACAAUAAAUAUCAUUGAAUAUCAAAAACAAUAUCAUUGGUUUAUUAAAAGCGUAUAAUUAAUGUACCCAUAGUGGUGUACUUAUUACUUGACUAUCUUUUAAACGGUGAAGUGUGUUGCUUGUAGUCGUGUUACAACUUACAGCGGAUACACAAUUUGUGCUAAACAAUAAAAACAAUAAAAUUAUAAAUAUAUAUAUUUUUUUUUUAAAUUUAAUUUAAUUGAACUACUGCAAUUGCUCCAACCUUACGGUAUAUUAGAUUCAACAAAAUGGUUUAAUCCUAUACCAGUUCGUUAGUAUGUAUUUAACUUUUAAGUUAUGUAUAGGAAUAAAUGCAUGACGUGCGCAUAUCAUAUCUAGGUUGUAGGCAUAUUAUUAUUUUUUUCGUGUGAAAUUGUAUAACCUAACCCAACCAAUUUGAUUAUUUGUAUCUGCCUAAACUUAAAACUAGGUUAUCUCGUUAACGGAUUGACGGAAGUUAAAAAUUAAAACACCUACUAAAAUAUUUUCGAACUCGUACUUCAUUUGUUUAUGUCGUUUUUAACAUAGUGUAUCGUUUGAAAAUCAAAAGUAGGCAUCUAGUGGUUGCAAAAACGACGGUAAUGCAACAUUUUGGAGCGUGUUUUUUUCUUCUUAAAUGUUCUCGAAUUCAGAAAAAGGUAAUUAUCAUUAUCGAACAAUUUGUUUUUCCUGAUGUAAUAUAAAUGCCAUCGCCCCUAGCCGGAGAAAAUCGUCCGAAAGGAACGCUGCCCUCUGGCGGUCAACGUAUAUUAUAAAUACGUUUUGAAAUCGCACCCGUAAUCGCUAUAAAAAAUUCUCGGAAAGAGGCAUUUAUUUCGAGUUCGGUGUCUGUAUUGUCAUGUUUUACUACCCGCGGAAGAAAAACAAACAUGUCGAUUAUUUGCUAUUGUAUAAUAUACGUAAUAUUGUUAUUAUUAAUGUCCGUACAAUUAUUAUUAUUAUUAUUAUUAUUGUUAUUUUUUAUUUUCCAUUCCAAGGAAACGUGUUUGCUUAUUGCGUGUACGCCGCGGCAAUAAUAAUUACAAUACGCGCGCUAAGUACCUAUACAACAAUAUACAUAUUGCACACCAAUACACUAUAUAUUUAUUUAACAA